rnacentral:rRNA from 1 species
GUUGUGGUACCGCGAUUUUUUGGUUAUUAUUAUGUUAUUUUUUGUAAAAUAUUUUAGUUUUUUUUUAUUUUUUUGUGGUAUCAAAAAUUUGUUUUUUGAACUGGAUUAGUACCCAGGUAAUCAAAAUUUAAUAAUUCGGGAGUAAAGUUUUGUUUAAACCGAAAAAAUAUUGACUGACUUUAGAUUUUUCUUUGGAAUAUGUGAUUUGCUGGAGAGCCCUCUUUUUUGGUGAAUUUUAUUGGCACAUGUAUGAUUGUUUAGUUUUUAUUUUAUUUCGUAAUGCUUUUUGUUUUGGCAUUUAAAACAGAUAUAUAUUUGGCUUAUGAAUUCAUGUUUCAUGUGUUACUAUUAUAAAUUUUUUUUGGAUUAAUUUUUUAUUUUUUUUUGAAAUUGGAAAAGAAAGUAAUUUUUUCU